UGACGGUACCACUUGAAUAAGCUCCGGCUAACUACGUGCCAGCAGCCGCGGUAAUACGUAGGGAGCAAGCGUUAUCCGGAUUUACUGGGUGUAAAGGGCGUGUAGGCGGGACAUCAAGUCAGAUGUGAAAGCACGAGGCUCAACUUCGUGUCUGCAUUUGAAACUGACGUUCUUGAGUGUUGGAGAGGCUAACGGAACUCCUAGUGUAGCGGUGAAAUGCGUAGAUAUUAGGAAGAACACCAGUGGCGAAGGCGGUUAGCUGGACAAUAACUGACGCUGAGGCGCGAAAGCGUGGGUAGCAAACAGGAUUAGAUACCCUG
rnacentral:rRNA from 1 species